UGGGGAAUAUUGCACAAUGGGCGAAAGCCUGAUGCAGCAACGCCGCGUGAGUGAUGAAGGUCUUCGGAUUGUAAAGCUCUGUCUUUUGGGACGAUAAUGACGGUACCAAAGGAGGAAGCCACGGCUAACUACGUGCCAGCAGCCGCGGUAAUACGUAGGUGGCGAGCGUUGUCCGGAUUUACUGGGCGUAAAGGGUGCGUAGGCGGAUGUUUAAGUGAGAUGUGAAAUACCCGGGCUUAACUUGGGUGCUGCAUUUCAAACUGGAUAUCUAGAGUGCAGGAGAGGAGAAUGGAAUUCCUAGUGUAGCGGUGAAAUGCGUAGAGAUUAGGAAGAACACCAGUGGCGAAGGNGAUUCUCUGGACUGUAACUGACGCUGAGGCACGAAAGCGUGGGUAGCAAACAGGAUUAGAUACC
rnacentral:rRNA from 1 species